rnacentral:rRNA from 1 species
GUCUUUUUGAUUAAUAAUUUAAAGUCUAAUCUGCCCACUGAUGAAAUAUUAAAGGGCUGCAGUAUUUUGACUGUACAAAGGUAGCAUAAUCAAUAGUCUCUUAAUUGGUGACUUGUAUGAAAGAUUUAAUGAGAUAUAUACUGUCUCUUUUUAAUUUAUAAAAUUUAAUUUUUUAGUUAAAAAGCUAAAAUAUAUUUAAAAGACGAGAAGACCCUAUAGAGUUUGAUAUUUAAUUAAAUUAAAAUUAUUUAUAAAAUUUAAAAUUUUAAUUUAAUUAAAUAUUUUGUUGGGGUGAUAAAAAAAUUAAAAGAACUUUUUUUAUAAUUUUACAUUAAUAAGUGAAUAAAUGAUCCGUAAUUUACGAUUAAAAGAAAAAAUUACCUUAGGGAUAACAGCGUAAUUUUUUUUUUUAGUUCAAAUAAGAAAAAAAGUUUGCGACCUCGAUGUUGGAUUAAGAUAAAAUUUAAAUGCAAAAGUUUAAAAUUUUUGAUCUG